rnacentral:rRNA from 1 species
UUAAAAUGAGAGUUUGAUCCUGGCUCAGGACGAACGCUGGCGGCGUGCCUAAUACAUGCAAGUCGAGCGAGCGGAACUAACAGAUUUACUUCGGUAAUGACGUUAGGAAAGCGAGCGGCGGAUGGGUGAGUAACACGUGGGGAACCUGCCCCAUAGUCUGGGAUACCACUUGGAAACAGGUGCUAAUACCGGAUAAGAAAGCAGAUCGCAUGAUCAGCUUUUAAAAGGCGGCGUAAGCUGUCGCUAUGGGAUGGCCCCGCGGUGCAUUAGCUAGUUGGUAAGGUAAAGGCUUACCAAGGCGAUGAUGCAUAGCCGAGUUGAGAGACUGAUCGGCCACAUUGGGACUGAGACACGGCCCAAACUCCUACGGGAGGCAGCAGUAGGGAAUCUUCCACAAUGGACGCAAGUCUGAUGGAGCAACGCCGCGUGAGUGAAGAAGGUUUUCGGAUCGUAAAGCUCUGUUGUUGGUGAAGAAGGAUAGAGGUAGUAACUGGCCUUUAUUUGACGGUAAUCAACCAGAAAGUCACGGCUAACUACGUGCCAGCAGCCGCGGUAAUACGUAGGUGGCAAGCGUUGUCCGGAUUUAUUGGGCGUAAAGCGAGCGCAGGCGGAAGAAUAAGUCUGAUGUGAAAGCCCUCGGCUUAACCGAGGAACUGCAUCGGAAACUGUUUUUCUUGAGUGCAGAAGAGGAGAG